AGUGAUAAAACACCAUGAUCAAAGCGUUUUAGGUAAGAGCGUUUAUUUCAGCUUGCAGUUUUGAGGCAGAGUCCAUAAUGGCAGGAGGUUACUGGAGCAGGAGGCUGAGAAAUCACAACUUCACCUGCAAACAGGACCGUGCUAGGAUGAGACUUUUGGCCUUUCGGUGCUUGUGCUAACUACCAGUUUGUAAUUAAAGCCCAACAACUCCAAAAC
rnacentral:lncRNA from 1 species